rnacentral:tRNA from 1 species
AGAAAUUUAAGUUACUUAAACUAAAGGCCUUCAAAGCUCUAAACAGGGAACCCCCCCCCUAAUUUCUG